UGGCAGUUAGACAUGCCGUUGUUCUGCCAUUCUCAAGUUCUGAUCAUUUAAUCUGAACUAUCAACAUCUUUUCUCCACCAGUACUCUGCACCCCCACUAUCUCCCCACCCCAUCUGUUGCAUAAAUGCUGCAUCCUCCUCAUUUUAUUUCAGCUCUGAUGAAGAGUCGUCUAGACUCGAAACAUUAGCUUGCUCUCUCCACAGAUGCUGACUGACCCACUGUGAUCUUCAGCAUUUAUUGCCCUCUACUCCUUUAUCCUUCAUAUGUUUGUCUACCUUUUUCUUCAGAAAGCAUGUUACAAUAUUUUGCUGACUUUUUGGCACUACUGACAUAUUGUUGCAGAUCAAACAAUGGUUGUGGCAUAAAAUAGUAAGAUUUUCAGUAUAACUAUGCAGCAGGUUUGAAUAUGGUUUUAUUUGAAUGUAUUUGAAGUUUUGAGGCUUUGUGCUAUCGGCCUAUGGUAAUUUCAGCUGCGAUUGUAUGAAAGCCCUGUAAUACCGAAAGCAAGAGGACAGCUGAAAAAUUGCCACACCGAAGGGAAGGUAUACCAUAGGGUGAUUUAUGCUUGUAAUGUUAUAACUUCAACAUGAUCAGAAAGGGAGGCAAGAAUAUUUGAGAGAAGAAUCCUAAUUAUUAAUGUAGAUAUAUUUAAACUUGUGAUCGUCUUUUAGCAUUGAUUUACAUUGUGUAUGAGUGUAAAUCUCUGAAAAUAAGAAAAUUGAAUAAAUGCAAACAGCAAAAUUUUAAGAUAAACUUAAUAGUGCAGCCAAUAGAAAAGUGUGUUUAAUAAAUCUAAUCUUAAUUCAUAGGAUCCUAAGAACCUCUUGACACUCUAGGAAACCUGCAGAAGUGCUAUAUUGUUUUAGCAAUAAUUCGGUAUCAGUUAGUUUGAGCCAGUGGGAUAUAUUGUCAAGAACAAAUUAAAAUUGUAUGGCAAGCUGUAAUCUUAGUUGCUGGAAUACACUAAAUUUCAUUAUUUUAAAUUUUAAAAAUAUGAAUUGUUUUAUAAAUAAAAUGUGUAGCAUCAUUAAACUUUGCAAAUUUUAAGCAUUUUUAUUAAUACUGAUGUGAACUUUGAAUCACUUCAGGAUUAAAAAUAAAUCAGGAUUUUUAGAUUAGUGGCUUGUCUAACUGUUGUAGGUUUUCAAUUGAAAGAUAGGUUCAUUUUCUUCAAUCCUAGAACUGCAUCUGUUUUUCCACUUUAACUGCAUUUCUAGAACCUGUUUGUUUCAGGACUGUACUAAAUGUUGCCCUUUUUUGUUGUUUUGUUCUAAAUCUAUUACUGGUUUAUUUUAUCUUGAUGAAAGAAUUGAAAUUAGUUCACUUAAAAUUUGCAUUGCUAUUAGCUGCAUCGCUGCCAGUGAGUGAAGUCAAUCAGUUUGAAGUCUGUGAGAGGUUUAGCUGUAUAGGUACCAGUGAGAAAGAGCAAUCAUUUUGAUGACAAUAGAAGGGUUUAGCUGUCAAGUAAAGAUUGCCAGUGGAAGUGGGAAUUCCGUUUUUACACCUGUUUUAACCUUGUGAAAGUUUGAAUGAGAAGAUUGGUCAAUUUCAUCACCGCGGUUGGAUAUAUAAAAUCCAAUUCCCACCUUUAAAACCGACAGAAGGAGCUUAUUUAAUUUAUUGUGAUGGAGACAGAAGUGGGAGGUUGUGCUUUCAGGAGGGAUUAAGUAUGGUAAUAGAACAAGAUGUUUGUGUUGUUGUUUCAGUUCUGAUUUCUGUGUUUGAGUAACUGUCUAACUACGUGAUGAUAUGGACUUCUUGACUAAUGAAUCAAUAUCAGUGGUUUUUAAUUUGUGUUCGUUUAAGUAUUUUGUCUUUUUCAGGAUUGUUCUAAAAUAGUGCCUUAAUUUUUAUUUUUGUUUUUCCUUUUAGGACUGCUGCUGUUUUUCAGAGGUUUUAUCAACUACCUGAAAAUCAGAAAUAUGUCUGAGAACGUGGCUGCGACACACCGGACCAGACUUUUCUUCUUGUACUAGAGUAUGUGGCUAACGAGGAACUCGAACAUUCCUUCCUAAUGUGAAAUGUCCAGAUGUUGUGCUUCAAGCUGCCAAGUUAUUUGGAUGUAAAACUACUGAAGAAUAAAUAAUUUAAGGUGUGACAACAAAAUCUAAGUGGAAUAAUGAAUCUCAAGACACUUCAUAAAAUGGGCCGAGUUCCUGAGUUGCUAGAUGCUGGAACCUUCCCCUUCAAAUUUUAAGUCCAGUGAUCUUUUCAACGUAUAAAGGUUCUAAUCUACAAAUUGCUACAGAAGAAAUACAAUGGAGCCAUUUUUUUUUUUUGAACCCUGAAUCAUCGAUCAAACAUUGACAUUGAAAUAUGUCUGUGACUGAACACCCAAAAUGCUUCACCGUCUCACCUAACCAGUUCGUAAUCAGUUUAUUGAUUUGAUUUAAAGCAAACUGACCUAUUUUUAAACUAUUUAAAAUGAUUGAGCUUUAAAAGCAGUCUUUUUCUUGCUAAAUUGGAAAUAUCUGAAGAACAAGUAUGUAAUUUACUGGAAUUAGGAUUAGAGCUGUAUUAAAUAUCUUGAUUUGCCUUUUAAAAGUUGCAGAACAAGUAGUUGUUCCCUUAUUUGUAUGGUUUUCCGCUUUUGAAAUUGCUUUGAUUGCUUAUUCUCAGUGCCCAGUUUUACAGUGACUAUUGCAUGACAUGAAACUGGUAACAACAAUUUCUUUAUUGGCUGAACUAUUGCUUCAGAUUGCUAGAGAAAUAUAACUGGAAUUUAAUUUUAACAUUGUGGUUGUAAAUUAUUUUUUACGCCAAUUAUUUCCGUGUUCUUUUUAAAGUAAUCUAACAAAUCAAAUGAUGGAGUAAGAAAGGAUUGUCCAUUUGAUUCUGUGCUGAUUUUUUUUCUUUUAAAAUUGUUUCUGUUAAACUAGCUUACAACUAAAGUAUAUGUAAUGAAGAAAAUCAAAGUCCCAUUUGAAGUCAGUGAUGGUGACUUCAGUUAUGACUUUACAGAGAUGUAUGAAACAGUAUCCUGCACUUGUAAAACUUGAGGAUAAAAGAAUAAAUGCUGAUUUAAUAA